rnacentral:lncRNA from 1 species
CAAAAGGCAGAAGCUAAGGAAUCUGCUAUUUUGGUGCUAUGUCAAGAUCUUGGCAUCAGAGAAUCUGAGGACUGCAGCAAAGUUGGGUUUCCAAGUAGUCAGAGUUGCAGUGUGAAGAAGAUGAAGACCGUGGCAUGACCACUGAAGUCGGCAACGUGGAGGUCACUGGAGAGCUUGAUAAGGACUUAUUUAAAGUGACAGCCUGGCUUCUGCUGUGCUGUGGGGAAUCGAGAGAAGGCCUGAUGUCCACUUUGGGGAUGUAGCAGUAUGGUGGGGCAGCAGCCUAAGGAAGGUGGUUCUAGGAGGUAAAGGAGUGAGCACUGGCCCAUGAAAGGAGCAGAGACUUAAAGUCUGAACCAGAUGGUCGGCUGAAAUGAUAAACAAUGGCCAGGAUGGACCUACAGAGAGGAGAACUCAAAAGUCACAAAAGAUUAAGGCUCAGGUCUUUAUUUUGGAUAUUUAAAGUUAAUAUGAACAUGGGAGUGCAAAUAUCUCUUCAAGAUAGUGAUUUUUUGUCCUUUGGAUACAUAUACAGAAGAGGAAUUUCUGGAUCAGAUGGUAGUUCUAUUUUUAAUUUUUUGAGAAACCUCCACGUUGUUUUCCAUAAUGGUUGAACCAAUUUGCAUUCCCACCAACAGUGC